rnacentral:rRNA from 1 species
GACGAACGCUGGCGGCGUGCCUAAUACAUGCGAGUAGAACGCUGAAGGAGGAGCUUGCUCUUCUGGAUGAGUUGCGAACGGGUGAGUAACGCGUAGGUAACCUGCCUGGUAGCGGGGGAUAACUAUUGGAAACGAUAGCUAAUACCGCAUAAGAGUAGAUGUUGCAUGACAUUUGCUUAAAAGGUGCAAUUGCAUCACUACCAGAUGGACCUGCGUUGUAUUAGCUAGUUGGUGGGGUAACGGCUCACCAAGGCGACGAUACAUAGCCGACCUGAGAGGGGGAUCGGCCACACUGGGACUGAGACACGGCCCAGACUCCUACGGGAGGCAGCAGUAGGGAAUCUUCGGCAAUGGACGGAAGUCUGACCGAGCAACGCCGCGUGAGUGAAGAAGGUUUUCGGAUCGUAAAGCUCUGUUGUAAGAGAAGAACGAGUGUGAGAGUGGAAAGUUCACACUGUGACGGUAUCUUACCAGAAAGGGACGGCUAACUACGUG